rnacentral:rRNA from 1 species
CAGUCGCCGCGGUAAUACGAGGGGGGCAAGCGUUGUUCGGAAUUAUUGGGCGUAAAGGGUGCGUAGGCGGCCCCACAAGUCUCAUGUGAAAUCUUCAGGCUCAACUUGAAGUCUGCAUGGGAAACUGCGGGGCUGGAGUAUGGGAGAGGUGAGUGGAAUUCCUGGUGUAGCGGUGAAAUGCGUAGAUAUCAGGAGGAACACCUGUGGCGAAAGCGGCUCACUGGACCAUAACUGACGCUGAGGCACGAAAGCUAGGGGAGCAAACAGGAUUAGAUACCCCGUAGUCCCUGUCUCUUAUACA